rnacentral:lncRNA from 1 species
GACACUCUCGGUGGGCCUGCCAGGCUGCCACUGAUAUUUUCCAGAAUAAAAAAAGCUUCGAUGCAACUUUAUCGGUGAGUCAUCGGUGAAUAGGAAUUAAUUGGAUAUUAAUUAAGUUAUUAGUGAGAAUUAAUCAAUUUAUCGAAUAAUGAAUAGGGUGUUUGGAACGACGACUUCUGGGCUUAGAAGCUCAGAAGCCCGUUUCAACUUUUUGUGGUAUGUUUGGCAACCGUCCUGAAGUGGUUAAUCAAACCAAAAAAAGCUCAGAAAAAAAGCUUCGUUGCCUAGCUUUUUCUUCAUACUUGGCUUUUUCUCAAUACUCAGCUUUUUCCUUUCACUGGCGCUAGAUUACGAUGCAUUAGUAUUUAGUCUAAAAGUAAUUCGCUGCAAGCUAGUAAUUGCUAUCGUUUUUGUCCAAUAAUUUUUUUAUUUUAACUAGUUGAGAAUCCGCGCGUUGCGGCGGCCUAUAAAAAUUAUAUUAAUGAUCCAAUAUUAAUAUUUAUAGAAUAAAAUAAUUUUAUGACUGUCUAUAAAAAGUAUAUUAAUGUUUCAAGUUAAUAUUUGUACGAUUAAAUAAAUUUAUAUUAUAAAAUUCUCGAUGUAAUACAAAUACUAAUAUAUAAAAUUGCAAAAUUGGACUAUAAUUCAUGGUGAAAAAAUGACAAUAAAUUUAUACACGUAAAUAACAAUUUAAAGCGUGACGAAUCUUAAAAUUUUAUUUUUUUUUUGGAAAAGUAAUCAUGUUCUUACAUUGUCACCUUCCUCUAAUUUUUUUAGAUUGAUUGUGCACAAAAACAUUUAACUUAAAUAUAACUACCCUCUUAAAAGUUGCUUGAACGGAGCAAACAUAUAAUGCAUGAAUAAUUUUUUCAUGUAUACAAAGUAAAUAAUAUAAAAAUUAACAACAACAAACAUGUCCGAUGAACAAAACAAAUAUUAUAAAAGAAUAACCAACAAACAUACAUCAUUAAUAGUUAAUUAAUUGACAUCAACCAUCGAUAUCCUAUCAAGACUAUAUUCUUUCCCCGUGUUUGGAUUUGUCGACUCCAAUAUAACGGUCUAUAACUACAUUUGCUUGCAACAACCUUCACUGUAACAGCCUUCACUUAUCGUUGCAGAAUAACGACACCUCCGAGUUAAAAAUCGAGCAAGAGAAAGGUAUUUUCAAUUUUUGAUAUUUUUCAUCCAAUAAUUUCAGAAAAUUAAAAAAUAAAACGGAGCGAUGUGAGAGGCACCACCUACACGCCCCUCGCUUCUCCUUUAAAAAUCGAGUAAGAGAACUAUCGGGUAGAUUUGUGGUAUUGAGAGAGGAGGUUGUGUUUUGAUGAUCCAAAAUAUUACGAUCUAUACGGGUAUUUAUAGGUGGAGAGAGACUUGUUUGCUACUCUUUCCCAUAAUUAAAUAAUCUGCACAAAAUCAGAUUAAAAUUUUCAAGCUACUAUAUUCCAUAAAUAAUCUGUCUUUCCCAUAAUUGAAUAAUCUGAAACAAAAUCAUAUUAAAACUUUCAAGAUACUAUAUUCCAUAAAUAAUCUGAAACAAAAUUGAAACAAAAUCAGAUUCUGAAACUUGCUUCUAAUAUACCCGAAACUAAAAAAGGUAGUUCUAAUUUUUAAUAUUUUUCAUCCAAAAAUUUCAAAAAAUUAGAAAAAUAAAACAGAGCGAUGUGAGAGGCGCCACCUACACGCCCCUCGUUUCUCCUUUAUAUAAGUAUAUUGAUUUUUCCUAAACUAUUUCAUAUAUUAAUAAUAAAAGAUACCUUUUUACUUGUAUUAAAUGAAUAUAAGUUUUAAAUAAAGGAUUUAUCUUUUUACUUGUAUUAUCAGCAGUUAUUAUUUUUUUUAAUUAGUGCGGAGUUUAAAAUUUUGUAUUUAUAAAUCUUUCAUGUAUUAAUAAUAAAAGGUCUUAUAUUAUAAUAAUUUAUUUUUUAAAAGAAACAAAUUAUUAUAUUACAAAAUUACGAAACUAUACCAACUUAUAAGUUAUGUUAUCCAAACACUUAAAAAAUUAUAAGCCACGGUAUCCAAACACUUUUAAUAGCUUAUAAGUCCAGACCAACUUCUCACUUAUAAUCCACUUCUUUACUUUAAGCAAUAAGUUACUUCUUUUAAGCCCAGCCAAACGCCCAUUAACCGAAAUUAUAAGCUCACCAUCAAUCUUAUCUUCUUCUUUUUUUUGACAGAAACAUCUAUCUUAUCUAAUAUUAUAAAAAAAAAAAAAAAGCAUUGGUGAACAUGAAUUAAUCGAUUAAAGAUGUUUUAUGAUCGUGUUUGCAUGGUCUUAAAUUCAGGUUUUAAGGUCAUUUUGACUUUGAAUUUGAAAAAAAAAUCGUUUAGUGAGUCCGAAGUCAAUUUAAAGUCAGAAAUUGAUUUAAAACUAAAAAUUAAUUAAAAUUAUUUUUUCAGCGAUUCAAUUUUUUCAACCUGUUUUGAUAAAAUUUAUCCAUAGACACAUAAGUUACUUAGAAUUUAUUUUUAUUUUUAUUUUUAUAAUUCCUAAACUAUUAAUAUGUUAAAAUUAUCUAAAUAAUAUUUUAAAAUUUCAAUUUAUCACGACGUGAAAUUAGAAUUCGCAAUUGUGCCAAAUGCCUUUACAUGAGAAAUGUAUAGACAUGUAUAAAUGGUUUAUGGUUAGUGAAAGUUCUAAGAAAGAGUCCUUUAAUAGGUUAAACAGAAGACAAUAGGUUCUCUCUGCAUACGCGUUUCUUAGUGUGGAUAAAAUCCUCCUAUUUCCCCAACACACUCUAUGCAUCCAUUAACAAAAAUGGCUUUCGACAGCACUAGCAAAGCAGUUGCGAAAGAGGCAUGGUCUGAACUAGUGCAUUCACUUCUGUCGUGGACUCCCUCCACUGAUAUGUCCAUGGUAUAUUACUACACUAUACCAGAGGACCACUCGAACCGCUUAGAUUUAUACAAAUAUAAGCUAGGUACCGAGAACAUCGAAGCCAGAAUUAAAUCUGGUCUGCAUUCUCAACUGGUGCAGCCAAAUUACCAAGGGAUCGAGCAUAUUCGAGAUUGUAUACGAUCAAGUAAUGGUAAUUAUGUGGUGAAAGCAGGGGAGCGUGAAGAUGAGCAAGGGAUUGAGUAUGUUCGAGUUUGUGUGAGAUCAACUAAUGAUUAUCAUGAUGUGGAAGUAAGUGAAGGUGAAAAUCAGCUGGGGAUUUCGGAUAUUCAACCUUGUGUGAGAUCCACUAAUCGUUAUUCUGCGGUGCAAGUAGAUGAACAAGGAAAUCAACUACUAAUGAACAGGAUCACCUACGAGCUAGUGAAAAUUAUGGCAACUUUAUUUGAUGACUUGUUCAAUUUCAUUGAGAGUUACAACAUGCACGGGGUAGAGAAGCCAACACUGCGGUUUCAAGUUCUGGAAUUAAUUAAGCUUUUACAUCACUAUGGAAGUGAUACUAUUCGAAGCGCAGUGGAGGAAGAACUUGAGUAUGUGAAUGAGAAGAAUUCAGCAACACAGUACAAGAAAGCUCUGGAAGUAAUGUUGAGAGUAUGCGAUACGGGGAUAAGUCAAAGUAUUUUUUACGAAAUAAUAGAAAAGGCAGAAACGGAUCAAGUGCUCUAUGAAUGGUGAGGAAUAAAUGGAGUCGUGCGGGUUAGCUUAAAAAAAAUGACUUCUUUCUUAAAAUAAAGAAUUGGAGUAGAAGUGAGAAGUAAAUUAAUAAUUAUAAAUUAUUAACGCAUUUGGAAAAGAAGUAGAAGUUGUAAAGAAAAACUAGCAUUUUCUAUUUCCAACUUCUUUCUCAUGACUUCUUAAAAAUACUCCUUACUUCUUCACGCAAGGAAAGUAGAAGCAGAAAGCUGGAGUUACUUCUUAUAAGAAUGUUUGUACUAAAUGAGAAAUGAGAAACACAGAAUUGAGAAUGAAUAUGAUUAUUGGUUUAAUAAUAGUGCAUAUUAUUUAAAAAGAUCGCAUACAUUACCAGCCAGAUGAAGUUAUUCAUCACAAGUCACAACAAAGUACAAAGAGAAAGUUGCAAUUCUGUCACUGACUGUCACUCACUCUGUAAAUUAUGAAGUUGCUCGAAAACAAAACACAAAAGAAAACGUUGCAAUUCCUCCGCUCUCAUAAAAUUACGAAGUUGAGAGCUCAGCUUAAUUAGCAAUGAGGUAGGCCUCAAUAGCCUUGAAAAGAGCAGUGUUCUGCUCAUCAGCAAACUUGAUGUUCUCCUCAGGAACCACGGCAUCGCCUUUGGUGUGGAAUAUGGCAGUGGUCUUAGUAAUGCUACCUCCGUCAGCAGUUGGCACAACGACCAUAUGGGUUUCAAUGGAUUCGAUGAAUCCUAGAAGGAUGUCUCCAUCAAUGACUGUGGAAUCGUAUGUCAAGGCCUCCUUGUUCACUGCAUCAGUUCUAACAGUCAUUGUGGUGAUUGGGCUACCUGCAACAGAAUUAUAUAAAAAUUUAUUUAAUGUACAAUUUCAGGAAAUAAUCACCUCAAAUCAGUAUGAUAUCAGAAAUGAUAUAUCGAGAAGAAUUGGAUAUAUAACUAACCUUCGGGAAGGGUGAUAGUUCUGAUGGUUCCAGCUCCACCGUCUCCUUUGACAUCAACACUCUUGUAAGCUCCGGGGGCAGCCUUGGGGAUAACAGUAUCAACAUCAAGGACGAUGCCGCUGAAUAUUUUCUCUGCUGAGACGGAAGAAGUGAUCUCGAGUGAAUGGCUCUGGGCACCCAUGAUCUUUAGGAAGUUAUUGCUGAAAUUUAGUAGAAAGAUUAAGCUCAAGGUUUAUGCUGGAAGAUUGAUGUGAUGAUAGUAGAGCACCAAGAGCACCUAUUUAUAGUACGCUAACAUCAAUGUUGAGGUGUUGAUAAAUAUUACAAUAAUGCAUUUUUUUAUUUUAAAAAGUUUAGAAAAGGAUUCCAAUCCGUUGAAAGAAAAGUUAAAGCUGUGUUUGUUGAAAUUUCAAAAGAUGUAUUCUAGAAGGGUCCUGUUCCUUGACAACCGGUUGUUAGAUAAGGGUUAUCUAACACACUGUACGGGGGCCGUUGGAUUUAUAUUCCAAGGGCUCAGAUUCAAUUUUGGGUUUUUAAUGUAUCCGCGGUUAUUUUCCGCGGAAGGGAAAACUCCCUAUCCGCGGUUAUUUACCGCGGAAGGGAGUUUUCCCUAUCCGCGGUUUUUUAUAGCGGAUACAUUAAAAUCUCAGAUUGGAUCUGGGCCUUUGAAAUAUAGAUCUAACGGCCCCCGUACAGUGUGUUAGAUAACCCUUAUCUAACAACCGGUUGUCAAGGAACAGGACCCAUUCUAGAAAGCAUUCACUAGUUUGAGUUGAAAGGUCAUAGAUGUACACUGGACAUACAUUGUUCAAACAAUCCAGUGUUGCUCAAUAAUUUAUUUAAAAUUUCUGACACAAAAAUAACUAUUUAUUUAAAAUUUUAAAUCUUGUAUUAAAAUUAUUGAAUUAUUUGUUUUUUUCAAAGAGAGAUUGUCCUUUUUAUCAUUGGUAGAUAUUUUAUCUCAUUGAAUUUGUUUUAACAAGGUUUUAAUGGAUGAGUAAGUGAUCCCUAUUAUAAUGACAAUCCGAGAGACAUAUUAUAAAACGAUUUUCGUUUUGCGUCAAUCACAUACAGUAUUAUACUCAUCCUUGUAAAUUUUUAGCCCUGUAUAAAAUUUCUAUAUGCUCCAGAUCAGUUUACAUUACUUAUAAAGAAAUGAGCUCACAACAACUAAACACACAGCAGCAAGCUCUUGUUUUUACUUGCUUUCUGUUUACUAACCUCUCUUACUUAUUACUAGUAACUUAAUUAAUAGCUCUAAUUCUAAUGUCAUGGUAGAUCCUAUAUUAUACUCCCUCCAUCUCAUUUUAAGUGUCCUGUUUUGACUUUCAACGGUCAAAUUGACCAACUUUUGACCAAGCAUAAAGAACAAAUUCGUUAUUAUUUUAAAAAACUAAAAAUUACAUUUUAUAGUAUAUUGUAUGUACUUUAAAGUGACAUAAAUUUUUUUAUUUUUAAAAAUUAUAUUAUAUGUGUAAAUCUCAGUUAAAAUUUGGUCAAUUUGACCAUUCAAAAGUCAAACAGGACACUUAAAAUGGGAUAGAAGGAGUAAUAAUUAUCUAUUUAUCACUGACCAAGUCUAGGCUGUUCACCAGCGUCCAUUUUUGACCUAAGUCUCUUGUCGUCUAAAAGUAUUACGAAUAUCCUCUUGUAAGUGUAAACAUAUAUACUGAUGACGUUUGACUUUUUACACGUGAUUUUGGGGGCUUUGACCGUAUAAGAAAUAUUAAUAUUUUUGCAAUUUUUUCUGAAUAAAAAUAUAACAUAAAUAUGUUUAUUUAUAAAAAAAAUUAAAAAAUAUUAAUUUUAAACAUGUGGUCAAGCCUCCCAAAGAUACGUGUAGAAAAUCAAACGUCCUCUAUAAUGGAUUAGAGGGAGUAACAAACUGGUUAAACGGGAAUUUUACUUAUCCUUGGGUGGGCAUUAUUUUACAUAUAAAAAACAUUUUAAGAAGCAUUCGGACAAAAGUAUAGUAGGUGGAUAGAGUGUUGUGUCGGGUUUUGUCAAUGUUGAGGGCUGAGUAUGAGCCACUUGUUCUUUGUUUAAAGACUCACAGUACAAUGUGUAUUAACCUAAGUCGUCCUGCAUGCGAAUUUGGUUAAAAUAGAGGUUACCAAAUUAAAAUAUAUUAUCUUGGAAGACGGUGUUCACCGGCCAGGUAAAAUUAUUAGAAUUUGUUGACACGUUAAAAAAUAGGAAAAUGCUAGAUGAACAGAAUUGGGUACGAAAGCAUUCAUAUAAUGAGUAUGUGUCAACUUUUAAUUGAAAUGGACCCCCUGUAUAUGCAUUAAUAGUACCAAUCAAAACUUUCCACCUCAGUUGCCAUAUCAUUUUGUGCAAAAUUCUGUACCCAAUUUUGUGCAUGUUAGCACUACUCUAAAAAAUAACCCAUGUUCACGUAUUGUUAUCCUAAAAUUGAAAGAUACAUUUAUGAAUGAUCUUGCACACAUGCCCCGUUUCAGCUGAUAUAAUUAUAUAAAAAUGAUAUUUUAACAACGGUUUUUCUAGUGUGUGCCUAUGGGCACAUGCUAAGCGCGGAAUUUGAGAAGUUUGGGAGAUUUUGAUUGGCUCUCAUAUCUUAAUAAUGGUAGACCCUCCUGCAAAUAUACCAACCACACCAAUCAAAAUCUCCCAAACAUAUCAAAUUCCGCGGACGCACACUGGACAAACCCUUUUAACAAAACUAAAUCGCACUGAAAUUUUGCUAACAGAGUCAGUUUUCUACACACCAAAAAGUUUCUAGCAUUAUCCUCAUCUGAUCUAGACACAUGAGUUUUUGUGCAUAUCUUUGGGGGACCCUGCUCAACUGUUUUGCUACUGUGAUUUAAAGAACGGGCCACGCAUAUUAAUCUUUUCUUUAAGUUUAAUUAUAUACAAUUCUAGGCUCUUAUCUUGCUUGAUAGGAACCUUGGUCCCUGGUAUGUGUAUAUCAAAAGACUUAUAUAACAUACAGAAUUUUUAUUGCAACAAAAUCCUGUUAUGUUUAGUGGUUUUCGUAAAUAUUCACUUAAGUUUCAAAUGAAAAAAGUUCAGGAACAUAAUGAAAUUUUGUUAUAAUUCUACUCGCCGGAUAUAUCACCCAACGGCCAUAUUUGUAAUCGAAAAAGAAUUUCUAAAUGCCCUGUUUGGAGAUUAGCUGUUAGCGGUUAGCUGUUAACGGAUUAAAUUAGAUAUUUUGACCAGCGGAUUGAAAUAAAUGUUUUGAGUAGCGGAUUGAAUUAGCUGUUAGGCAAAAUAAGUUUGUAAAGAUUGCCAUGAAGUUUACCAAUCCCCAUCACCCUCUUCAUAGGGUCCUGAACAAUACAGUGAUGAGCAUUAAAGUGAACUUCAAAAUUUGAUGAGGAACUAAGUUUACUGAUUGACACCAAAUUAAAGUGAAAAUCAGGAAUGUAUAGGACAUCAUGAAGGAUUAACUCUGAAGUUAACUGAAUUUGUCCUUUAGUCUUGACAUGUGCAAUGUGUCCAUUUGGAAGGCAAAUGUUUAUAUCACAAACAAUAGGAUUAAUCAGCAAAGUAUUGUGACAUGUUAUGUGAUCAGUUGCUCCAGAAUCUAAUACCCAAUCCAAGGAAGUAUGACAACUAGCCAGGCAAAUAGUAGUCAUUGAGGAGCAGUAAUUACCUGACUGUGGAGGAUCACCAGAAUGAGAGUUAGUAGAAUGAUUGAGAAGAGCAAGCAGCUGGUGGUACUGAUCAUCAGUGAAACCUGCAGAGGAGUUACUUGCAGACUGAGCAGUAGAGUUAUCUCCAUUAUCACCAACUUUGUUGACCUGAGCAAGGACUUUAGAACCAGAGUUUGGUUGAAACUUAGGUUUGCCUGCUGGUUGUUUUGCUCUUGGAGGAAAUCCAAUGAUAUGAUAGCAUCUCUCCCUGGUAUGAUUAGUUCCAUGACAGUGAGUGCAUUCCAUUGUGCCUUUCUUUGUCUGAGACUUAGGAUUUCCAGAGUUUGACUUCUUGAAGUUGGAUUUGUUUCCAUCAGUGACACUUCUAGUCAUGAGAACAGUAGAUUCUGGUACAGAUGUAUUGAAACUUGAGUAGUUUCUCUGCCUCUCAUCUUGCUGCAAUAGACUAAGUGUUUGUGUCAUCUUUGGAAGUGGAUCCAUCAUGAGAAGUUGACCUCUUAUAUUUGUGAAAUUCUCAUUGAGUCCCAUGAGAAACUGAGUAACUUUCACUUUCUCUUCAUAUUGCACAUUUUCAGACUUAGCACUACAAGUACAUUUUGGAGCAUUUGAUGCACUAACCAUAUCAUCAUAGAGUUUCUUGAAUUUUGUAUAAUAUGCAGAAAUAGUCAUAUUUUCUUGAACUAGACUAGCUAGAUCCUUUCUGAUCUCAAAGAACCGUGGUCCAUUGUUUUGAGUAAAUCGAGAGUGCAGAUCAGACCAUACAACAGAAGCAAGUGUAUCAUACACUAAACUAGACCUAAUUUCAGGAUUUAUGGAGUUCAACAACCAAGUGAUGAUCAUGUCAUUGCAUCUCUGCCAUGAAUCAAAGUAGGGAGAGGUAUUACCUGGAGUUUUGUAUUUUCCAGUGACAAGCCCUAACUUGUUCUUUGCAGAGAGAGCACGACUCAUAGACCUUUUCCACUCAUUGAAGUUAUCACCAGUAAGCAAUUCAGCGACAAGUAUCUGUCCUGGAUGAUCUGAAGGAUGCAAAUACAGUGGAUGACUUGAUUCCAAGCUAAUUGUAGUGAAAUCGCCAUCAAAAUCUGUAACUGUUUCUUCAUUAUCAGACAAAUGCGACGCCAUUAAACUGUUUGACAGAAUGUUUCAAAGAGACUUUAACACAGAUCUAUCUGAAUUGCUGCGAUUUACAACAACUCAAAUGUACAACUACGUGAACAAAGAUUGAGUGGUGGAGAUGAUGAUUGAGCGAUGGAAAUAGCGUUAGCGAUAAAGGAAGUAGCGGUGAGUAGCGGUGUUGUGCGAUGGUGAUGAACGAGUGUGUGCGGCGGAGACGAUAACUCGAGGAAAUUGCGGAAAAACGAGCGAACCUCGCUCUGAUACCAUGAGAAAAUUCUAAAUGGAAAGAAAGAAAUUUCAGAGAGUAAAACCAAAAAAAAAGUGUAUUCAUCUCUGAGCUAUAGCUCUGUUUAUAUACAAGAGUGCACAACUGAAUUCUGUUACACAAGUUCCCGCUCAACUAACAAACUUGAACAGUAUGAAAUGACUAAUAUGUCCUUAAGAUAUUUCUUGUAUUCUUAUUCUGCCCUUGUCCUUGCUGGCUUGUAUCUGUGGUAUAUUCUCCUCAAUAAAACUGUUUGGUUAAUAGCUGAUUGAUUAGUUUUUUCUGAUCCAAACCAAAACUUCUAAUCCAAAAAACUCCUCAAACUAUCUUUUUCAAAAUUAGCUUUUUGGUCUAAACCUCUAUAUCAAUCCGCUAACUACCAAACAUUUAUAUUAGCGGAUUCUAGUUGUCAAACCUCUAAACCACCCCAAAUUUCUAAUUUUGUCCCAAACCUCUAACUUUCAAAUAGGGCCAAAAAUUCUUAUGUAGCUCUCUCUUUUACAAAACCUUUGUUCAACAUGCGAUCGAGGUGGUCAACAACAGCGUCUAGAUGCCACCCACCAGUUAUCAGGCUUAGUGUUGGACGGCCAACCGAGGAGAAUGUUUGCCGAGUCUUAUCAUUCUCACUUAAAGAAAUACUACUCACUAAUUAGAUUUAUCUAUUUGGGGCACUGGCUUCUUUUUUUGUCAUCGUUCAUUUUUUAAGUUCUAUAAUCUUUGUAAUUGUUAAAUAUUAUUGUAAAUGCUUUUCCAACUUUUUAACUUUUCUGUAUAAAAUAAGCUUUUACGAUCAUAUUUCUCUUAGAACCCAUAGUAAUUUAACCAAGAUUCAGCGGCAGAAUUUGCCUUAUUUUGUAGUUUUGUAUUCUAAGCUGAACUUUUAUUUUGUAUUGAAAUCAUGAGAUAUUUUUUGAAUUUUAUCAGAGAUUUUUUGAUUAUUUUAAAUUAUUUUGACAAAUCAUGAUAUAAUAAAAUAAAAUACUUAUUAUGAAUUAAUCCGAAAAUAAUCGAAAAAUCAGGAAUUACUAUCCCUUAUUCCCUUGGAAUAUAGUAAGAGCAUCUCCAGCAGAGUCCUAACAUAUUCCCUAAAUAUAUAAUAAAAUAUUCAUUUUUUAAGGGAUCACUACAUUUUAUUGAAUCGAAACUCCAACAACAUUCUCUAUUUUUAUUCCCUAUUAUUAUUAUAAUAUUAUUUAUAUUCAACUUGUAAGUAGGAGAGAGAAAGGAGGGAAAGAGGGAGAAAAGUAGAGAAGUGAAUAUUUUAUUUUUCAAAAUAGUAUGAGGAAUGGUUCCACAAUCCUUAAAAAUGAGGAAUGAAGUGGGCAUCCUAAUUUUUUAAGGGAUGUCAUAUUCCUUAUAUUGAUAGCUUAGUACACCAUAUAGGGAAGCUGAGAUGCUCUUAAUACACAGCAGACACGGGUGGAGCCGAGGUUAGUGGGACCAACCAACUUUUAAUAUUUGCUAAUUUUGAAAGCAGGAUCCUCUUCACAAAUGCUGAUGCAGGAGUUAACCUCCACCGGAGUUGCUCUAACAACUCAGCAACGGCGGGGUCUCCAGCCUUGUACUCACAAAUCAAAUGUGGCAUUACUAGCUAGAGAGACCGAUAAAGUCCAGAAGUAUGCAAACAUACAUCAUUAAGGUUUGAGGGAAUAACAUUUUUAGCUAAUAAUUUAAGUAAAAUAGUAACGCAUAGACGAUUCAGAAAGAUUACAUCAAUACCGGUAUUUUAUUUCAUUUAAAAAGAUUACAAACGUUACAGAAUGAAGUUGCUCAUUAAAACAAAGUACAAAAAAAAAAAGUUGCAAUUUUGUCGUCCACUCAUAAAAUUAUGAAGUUGAGGCAUCUCUCCUUCUCUUCCCAUAAAUUUAAAAACGACAGAUUAUUGUAACACGGUGGAGAGUUCAGCUUAGUUAGCAAUGAGGUAGGCCUCGAUAGCUUUGAAGAGAGCCGUGUUCUGAGCAUCUGCAAACUUGAUGUUCUCUUCAGGAACCACGGCAUCGCCUUUGGUGUGGAAUAUGGCCGUGGUCUUGGUAAUGCUACCUCCGUCAGCAGUUGGCACAACUACGAG